UGAGGCUAAUAGUGCAUAUCACACUCACUCUGGAGUGAGGAGUGUGUCAAAAAGUCCGCGCCGAAGGAUGUGCUGCGGCCGAUUAGGUAGACGGUGGGGUAACGGCCCACCGUGCCGAUAAUCGGUACGGGUCAUGAGAGUGAGAACCCGGAGACGGAAUCUGAGACAAGAUUCCGGGGCUACGGGCGGCAGCAGGCGCGAAACCUUUACACUGCACGCCAGUGCGAUAAGGGAAUCCCAAGUGCAGGCAUAGAGCCUGUGCUUUUCUGAACCGUAGGGAGGUUCAGGAACAAGGGCUGGGCAAGACCGGUGCCAGCCGCCGCGGUAAUACCGGCAGCCCAAGUGAUGGCCGAUUUUAUUGGGCCUAAAGGGUCCGUAGCUGGCCGCGCAAGUCUAUCGGGAAAUCUAUCCGCUCAACGGAUAGACGCCCGGUGGAAACUGCGUGGCUUGGGACCGGAAGGCGCGAAGGGUACGUCCGGGGUAGGAGUGAAAUCCUGUAAUCCUGGACGGACGCGAUGGCGAAAGCACUUCGCGAGGACGGAUCCGACAGUGAGGGACGAAAGCUAGGGUCUCGAACCGGAUUAGAUACCCGGGUAGUCCUAGCCGUAAACGAUGCCUGUUAGGUGUGGCUCCCACUACGAGUGGGUGCUGUGCCGUAGGGAAGCCGCUAAACAGGCCGCCUGGGAAGUACGUCCGCAAGGAUGAAACUAA
rnacentral:rRNA from 1 species